ensembl:lncRNA
AUGUCCCUCCCAUCCCUCCAUGUCCCUCUUGUCUCUAUGUCCCUCCUGUCCUUCUUGUCCUUCCAUGUCCCCAUCCUCUGUCCAUGUCCCUCCUGUCCCUCUGCGUCCCUCCUGUCCUCCUUGUCCUUCCAUAUCCCUCCUGUCCCGUGUCCCUCUCAUCCCUCCACGUCCCUCCUGUCCUCCUGUGUCCCCUGUGUCCCUCCCAUCCCUCCACGUCCCUCCUGUGCUCCGUGUCCCUUGUCCUGUGUCCCUCCCAUCCCUCCUGUCCUCCUUGUCCUUCCAUGUCCCUCCUGUCCCAUGUCCCUCUCAUCCCUCCACGUCCCUCCUGUGCUCUGUGUCCCUGUUCUCUUCGUCCCUCCUGUCCCUGAGUGUCCCUCCAUGUCCCCAUCCUCUGUGUCCAUGUCCCUAUGUGUCCCCCGUGUCCCUCCCACCCCUCCCCUCCCUCCUGUGCUCCGUGUCCCUGUUCUCUUCAUCCCUCCUGUCCCUGUGUGUCCCUCCUGUGCCCCUCCAUGUCCCCACCCUUGUGUCCCUCGGUGUCCCUGCCACCCUCGUGGUGCCACCAGCCCUUUCUGCUGUCCCCAGGCACCAAUGACAAGCCCGGGGGUCCCCACUACCUGCUGCGCUGGACGUCCCCGCAGGCCAUCAAGGAGACACACGUGGCCCUGGGGGACUGGCAGUACCCCUGCAUGCAGUGACCCUGGGGGACUGGCAGUACCCCUGCAUGCAGUGACCCUGGGGACAGCUGCCACCGCAGCGCCGGCAGCGCUCGCACUACUGACCCCCCACCUGCCCCUCCUAGCUCCUGAAAAAAAAACAAACAAAAAAAGUUGUUAAAUGGUAAAAGCUCGGAGCUGCUCGUGGUGUCCUCGGCCGCCCCUGGGGACACGAUGGUGAGUGUGCCACUGCUUGGGUUGCAUGACCUUAAAGGGCUUUGCCAACCUCAGUGAUUCUGUGCAGGCAUGCUUCAUUAGGUCAGUCGUUAAUUAAGGGGUGGCUGCAGAGGCACAGCUGGACCCCGGCUCCCUUUUCCUCCCGGCUCUGCCACCCCCAGAGCGGAUCCCCCUCCCCAGGGCCGAGCAGGAGCUGAGAUCUGUCCCUGUCCCUGCACCCAGCCAUGUCCCUGCCUGUCCCAAAUCCCUGGGUGUGCAGGGCAGCCAGGCUGGUCCCACCCCUGGGCUGGGCUGUGUCCCCAGCCUGAGCCCCCUGGGCUGGGCUGUGUCCCCAACCUGAGCCCCCUGUCACCCCUGGGCUGGGCUGUGUCCCCAACCUGAGCCCCCUGUCACCCCUGGGCUGGGCUGUGUCUCCAGCCUGGCACCCCUGUCACCCCUGGGCUGGGCUGUGUCCCCAACCUGAGCCCCCUGUCACCCCUGGGCUGGGUUUUGUCCCCAACCUGAGCCCCCUGUCACCCCUGGGCUGGGCUGUGUCCCCAGCCUGGCACCCCUGGGCUGGGUUUUGUCCCCAGCCUGGCACCCCUGGGCUGGGUUUUGUCCCCAACUUGAGCCCCCUGUCACCCCUGGGCUGGGCUGUGUCCCCAGCCUGACACCCCUGUCACCCCUGGGCUGGGUUUUGUCCCCAACUUGAGCCCC